GGUACACGAGUGGCGAACGGGUGAGUAACACGUGGGUGACCUGCCCUGCACUUCGGGAUAAGCCUGGGAAACUGGGUCUAAUACCGGAUAGGACCGCACCGUGAGGGUGUGGUGGAAAGUUUUUUCGGUGUGGGAUGGGCCCGCGGCCUAUCAGCUUGUUGGUGGGGUAAUGGCCUACCAAGGCGGCGACGGGUAGCCGGCCUGAGAGGGUGGACGGUCCACAUUGGGACUGAGACACGGCCCAGACUCCUACGGGAGGCAGCAGUGGGGAAUAUUGCACAAUGGGCGGAAGCCUGAUGCAGCGACGCCGCGUGGGGGAUGACGGCCUUCGGGUUGUAAACUCCUUUCACCAUCGACGAAGGGUUUCUGACGGUAGAUGGAGAAGAAGCACCGGCUAACUACGUGCCAGCAGCCGCGGUAAUACGUAGGGUGCGAGCGUUGUCCGGAAUUACUGGGCGUAAAGAGCUCGUAGGCGGUUUGUCGCGUCGUCUGUGAAAUUCCGGGGCUUAACUCCGGGCGUGCAGGCGAUACGGGCAUAACUUGAGUACUGUAGGGGAGACUGGAAUUCCUGGUGUAGCGGUGAAAUGCGCAGAUAUCAGGAGGAACACCGGUGGCGAAGGCGGGUCUCUGGGCAGUAACUGACGCUGAGGAGCGAAAGCAUGGGGAGCGAACAGGAUUAGAUACCCUGGUAGUCCAUGCCGUAAACGGUGGGCGCUAGGUGUGGGUUUCCUUCCACGGGAUCCGUGCCGUAGCUAACGCAUUAAGCGCCCCGCCUGGGGAGUA
rnacentral:rRNA from 1 species